rnacentral:rRNA from 1 species
CAAUAGCGUAUAUUAAAGUUGUUGCGGUUAACAAGCUCGUAGUUGGAUUUCUGUCGAAGGCGGCCGGUCCGCACUAUGUGCGUGUAUCUGGUUCGGUUUUGGCAUCCUCUUGGGGAACGUUUCUGUGCUUGAUUGCAUGGGGCGGGAUUCAAGACUUUUACUUUGAGGAAAUUAGAGUGUUCACGGCAAGCUUUCGCUUUGAAUACAUUAGCAUGGAAUAAUAAUAUAGGGCGUAAGUUCUAUUUUGUUGGCGUUCGAGAACCAAAGUAAUGAUUGAUAGGGACGGUUGGGGGCGUCAGUAUUCUGUAGCGAGAGGUGAAAUUCUUGGACCUACGGAAGACUAACAGCUGCGAAAGCGUUCGCCUAGGACGUUCUCUUUAAUCAAGAACGAAGGUUGGGGAUCGAAGACGAUCAGAUACCG